rnacentral:lncRNA from 1 species
AGGUUAAUACUAAAAAAAAUGGGAAAAGAAACAAAAUGGGAUAAGUUUAUACAUCACAAAGAAGCUCAUGGCAGGAGGAGGGAGAACAUCAAUACACUGGAAGGGUAAAGAGGUUGGAGAUAGGAAAUACUCAACUCUUUAUGUGCAUUGAAAUUGACUCAAAGAGGGAAGAACAAUCCAAUCCAUUGGGGCAGAGAACUGAUUUGCUCCCUAUAGGGAAGUAGAAGGGUAACAAACUGACUGGUGGGGAGGGAAGCAGUACAAGGGAUGGAGAGGGUGGUGGUAGUAUAAAAAGACUCUAAAGAAAAUAAGAGGGGAAUAAGAAGGGAGGGGGUAGAAAGGAAAAUAAAAUAAGGGUGGGAAUUAGGUGGAUUGAUUAAAAACAAAACAUUGUUGUAGAAGGAAAUCGUGAAAGAAGAAAAGGCAAGACUAGGAGUAGAAAUCAAAAUGCUGGGAAAUACACAGCUGGUAAUCAUAACUCUGAAUGUGAAUGAAAUGAAUUGACCCACAAAAUGCAAUUGAACCACCAAAAAACUUUUUUUUAAUGAAUUAGAAAAAAACCAUAACAAAGUUCAUUUGGAAGAACAAAAGAUCAAGGAUAUCCAGGGAAAUCAUGGAAAAAAAUGAGAAGGAAGGAAGCUUUGCAGUCUCAGAUCUCAAACUAUACUAUAAAGCAGUGGUCAUCAAAACAAUUUGGUACCGGCUAAGAGACAGAAAGGAGGAUCAGUGGAACAGACUUGGGGUGGGAAUAUCCAAUGUGGAAAGCAAGAAGAUGCUGCUGCCCUGCCUUCACCCUGGCUGGAACAAGAGAGGAGAAAAAGAAAGGGGGACGUUGAUGCCAGUGGUCCAUGGAACCUGAUCUUAUCUAUGUAUCAUUAGCAUUUCAGACUGAAAAAGAUAAGGAAGCUGAAAGCUCACCUAAACCACAGCUGCACUGGCCAAUAUUAGAAACACCCGAAGGACUGCAACAUUGCAGAUGGGGUAUAUGAGUAUUGUACCUACCUCAAAUGAACUUUGACCAGAUGAUGCUGGGAAAGUGACUGGGAAAUCUUGUCCCCUGAAGAAGAAGCAGAGGUUUUGUGAAUUCAUCAAUAUCAGUAAUUCUUGGGCUGAUUCAUCUCAGGCGUCAUUCUGCCACUUGGUUGGUACUAGGAGAGAAAUACCAAAUAGGCUAUAAAUGAGAAUUAAACAUUAUCUAGAGAAUUCCAAAGAACCUGAUAAUAAAAUGUGAAAGUUUGAAUGCUGAGAGGCA